UGCUCACCAGUGACGGUGGUCACAGUUGCAAUAAAGUCUCUCUCUGAAACCAAAGCUAGCAUUUCAGCAUGGAAGGAAUUAGGACCUUUUCUUCAGGAUUACAGGCCAAGAAAAGGAAAGCUGAUUUGGAUUAUAUUUAUGCUUAAUAUCAACAUGGUUUAUAAGUGGACAGAAAAACACUCACUCACGUAUUCAGCCACGUAUGGUCUGGAGUGCUCUGUAGAACAGCCCGAAGUGUACACCAUGUCUCUGCACUUGAAGCUCAUGGAAUGUGUUGGAGGAGACUCAAGCUCCAUGUGGGAACAGUGUGGCCCAAGAGCCAGCAUGGAGGAGGGCUGUGUGAGCAGACUGCUAUAGAAUGCUAAAGUUAUAAUCCUAGCUGGUGUCUCGUUCUGUUUAAAAAAAUCAAAUUUCUGUAUGUAAUUGACGUAUUGGUCCUUAUAGUCAGUACCAUCAGGUCUUAGAUUGUUAAGUCAUUUUGCUGCCACCAGACCAGUGAGAGUCACUCACUUAUUUGUAAUGAUUCUUGGGAAGUUUAGUCAAGAGAAUAUCCUUGAAUAAAGAAGUACAUGUUUUAAGUA
rnacentral:lncRNA from 1 species